GCUAGCCAGCACGCCAACAUUUGUACUUUGGCCGUGCAGCAGAGUGUUUAUAGAAAGAAAUCUUGAAAAGUGUUAAAAGUUAAAGAAAGUGAAUAAAUUGUUUUUUUUUGCUUGGGUUCAGCGGUUUUCAAAGAAGAGAACAGUGCUUUUUGAGUAUUGGUUGAAAAAUGAAGUCUGCAAAAAUGGUUAACGGAAGUUGGUGUUUUUGGAAGAAGUUGCAAGUCUUAUUAGAGGAAGAUGAUCCCGGUUAGCUGAGAUGGCGUUAUUAUACAAUGAGUACAUUGAGCAUAUUUGGAAAUCACAUUACCUAAGAGAGGAGGCUAGGCAAAAAGACAACGCAUGGAAUUUUACUUCUGGUCUGCUGGCUUACCAUAACUGGUACAUAUACAUAUCUGUCUGUCCGCAAAGAUCUGACGUAAUGCUGAGGAAAGUUUUUGCGUUGCUAGGAUCUGUUUAGGCAGGAUGACUGAGAUGUACUCUUGACUGAGAGGAAUCUAUGGGCAGGCCAGGCAGGAAUGUGUUGUUGAGUGAAGACAUACAGGCAGGCAGGCAAGGCAAGCAGGCAAACACGUACAGCCGAAGGCAGAAAACUGCGUUGAGGAGUGUGUGUGUGUGUGUGUUGGCCACAAAUGGAUGUGGAAAAUGAGUAAGUUAUUCGUCGUCGUCUUUGAAAAGCAAUUUUGUCGCUUAUAAGCUCUCUACUACACAUGCAAACUGUAUGUAAAUAACUAAAUGUUAUUGCAGUUUGCUGCUAAGGCAGAAAGUCAGAACUCUGAAAUCAAUAUAAAACACAAUAAUUGACCAUAGGCGCAGAGCUCGUUUAAAACUGAAGACAAAGCGAUAACCUACAUACCCAUCUACAGAAAUUAUAGAACUUGCGGCUAAACAUUCUUCUUCUUCUUCUUCUGCGAGAUUGUUGUUUCUUCUACUGCCAAAAAAAAGCCCUUAUCAUCAACGGUAGAGGAAUGCUAUGUUGCAGAAUUGGUAUAAUUGUUUCACUUAUUUAGUUAAUACAUACAUACUUAAAAAAGCAUUUAUUGAGCUCCCCAAUAUUUGCGAGAAAUAAUUAAGAACUCCUUAACACAAUUUAUAAAACAAAGAAAAAACAAAAACGUUGAAGUGAAAACAACAGUUAAAAAUACUUAUAUACGUACAUAUAUAGAAAUUUGUAGGCACUGAAUGAUAUGAAGAAUAUACUGUAGUUGCCAUAACCUAACUACAUAGUAAAUGAAAUUUAUUAACAUUUAUGCUUUUAUUGGUCAUUCACAAAUUAUGUUAUUCAAAACUGCGUUAUUUUUCAC